CCUUUCAAUGCAGAAGAGUUGAGAUGGUUGAGUAUCUCGCCUCUCAAUUCUCGCUGUAUUUUACCCUUGUUUUUCUCAUACUAUUAUUUCCUCGGCAGGCUCGCCUGCCGGGUGUGAAACAACUUCAAACCUGUUUAAUUUUCAAUCAGCGUCUGAACAAAUUAAUAAUUA
rnacentral:misc_RNA from 1 species